CCCUUAGAUGUUCUGGGCCGCACACGCGCUACACUGAAGGAGGCAGCGUGUACUCCUGGAUCGAAAGAUUUGGGUAACCCGCGAAUCUCCUUCGUGCUAGGGAUUGAGGUUUGCAAUUAUCCUUCAUGAACGAGGAAUUCCCAGUAAGUGCAAGUCAUAAGCUUGCGCUGACUACGUCCCUGCCCUUUGUACACACCGCCCGUCGCACCUACCGAUUGAAUGGUCCGGUGAAGCCUCGGGAUUGUGGUUGGUUUCCUUUAUUGGAGAUUGAUUGCGAGAACUUGUCUAAACCUUAUCAUUUAGAGGAAGGUGAAGUCGUAACA
rnacentral:rRNA from 1 species